GUCAGGAUGGCCGAGCGGUCUAAGGCGCCAGACUCAAGGUUACCCUUGCCUAUACAAUAAUAGGUCUGAGUUGUUCUGGUCCUCUCUGAGGGCGUGGGUUCGAAUCCCACUUCUGACA
rnacentral:tRNA from 1 species